GCCGCGCGAGGCCGCCCUCAGCGCUUCCUCCCGGCGGAGGGGGCGGGGCGCAGCGAGCGGCCGAGGAGCGGUGACGCGGGCGCGGCCCGGGUCUGUGACACACGGCGGCGUUAGGGGGAGCCCGGAGGGGCAGAACCGUACUUUGACCGACAGAAGUACGUUGUAAUCGAUGAACUCUUAGGAUAGCGAUCCUUCGUUUCGAAUGAACGGAGAACUCGGCCGCAGAGCAGCGUGCAGAUUCGCUCGCGCUUGGUCUGGUCUGCCGCGACGCCCGUACAAGCACCGCGAACUCACAGUGCCGUUCCAAAGUGCAAAAGUUACGUUCUUACACGGAGAAGGGCUGGCAGGGCAGGCCGAACUGCUCCCGUGCGACAAACAGCUCAGUUUUCCGCAGACAAAGGCAGCAGACGAAGUGCCUCCAAGUGCCUCUACUAACACGUCCAGAGAACGAACAUAGGAAGCUGAGGAGCUGCCAGCAUUAGGUGUUUGCUGACCAGACAAUUGCUAAACUAAAUGCAACCAAGUUUUAGAGGCUACUUAGUUAUAAUUCAAAAAUGAAACCGUGCCAUCUCAAGCAUGGCACAGGCCAACAAAUAGAUGGUGGUGGCAAUACACAUUGUGGCUCACCCAGCACAACUCAAGUCUACAGCUGAGGACUCCAUACACUGAGCUGCAAGAAGCUUAAAGCAAUUAAACCAAACCAAUCUGGAACACAUUUUGACCAUUCAGAAGGUGCAUCUCUGCUGAUGUGAAAGUCUUUGUUUUUAUAUGAUGGUCAGGUCACACUAAGAUUUAAGCUGCAAAGGAAAAGCAACCACAAGACUGCUGGACCACAUUCCAGCUCUUCAGCUGUGAACUGUCUUCCUGCAGGACUAGCAGUGACAAUCCAGCUUCCAGCCAUAUAAUCAGGACUGUGCAAAGGCAAAUGUUCAGAUACAGUUCAGAUAUAUCUUUCUCAAAGAAAACAUAUUUGGCUAUUACAUGCAGGGAAUGAGGACUUAAAAAUUUGGUAGAAGAGAGAGCCCUAGACUGCUUCAGUCCAACACCUUUGAAAGGAAGUGUUCUGCACAGCACCCAUAGUCUGCUCUUCCCCAUUUCCCCAUGUGCUACAUCUCUACCUUAUGUUAUAUACUUGGCAUCCAUCACAUCACAGCUCCAAGCCCUGGAGCACAGCUGCAGUCACCGCUAUGGAAAUGGGGAACAGCUGAACAAAACCAGGGAGCUGUGUGCAAACAAAAGCACAUAUAUCAGCAGAAAAGAAUCACUUCUGAGUUUCCUUGACUUAUCCCACAGUAUCAUUCUCUUUAUUUCAGCCCCAAAACUUCCUUCCCUGCUUCCAAUUUAACCAAAUUAACACUAUGAAUUUUAUUCUGUUUCAAGAAGGGCACAGGAAGGCAACUCCCACCUCACAGAGAUACCCUGAACAAAAAUACAUAAACUCUUCACGCUUCAUUUAGCAACCUGCAGUACACACUCCGCAGCCCUUUUGUAGCAAGAGUACAGGCUGUACGAACAGCACUUGGUAUCAAACCCUACAGGUUUUAACAUGCAGAUGACAUUUAGCUUAUGCCUAUGCCGACAAGACCCACAGAAGCUUGCAGCUCUCUGUACUACCUUCACCAUGCUGCAAGAGAACAGGGUACAAUCCUAACACCUGCUCUGCUAUGGAGCAAGGGAAGCUUACAUGCCCUGAUGGUAGCUUCACAUGUCCUAUAUCUCACUCAGGGCUGAAAGAAGGGGAACCGUUUGAAAGCCAAGCAGGCAGUACUGCUUAAUGCUCUGCCCUGAAUGCUAUCCUGUAGAAUUCCCGUCUGUGUCACUCAUGGGCAACCAGAGCCCCAUACUCAUUGCUCCCCAAGAGCCAGGAUAGGCACACAGAAGAUUGCAAGGUCUGGGAAAAAAAAA